UCCGGUUUGUCACCGGCAGUCUCCUAUGAGUCCCCGACAUUACUCGCUGGCAACAUAGGACAGGGGUUGCGCUCGUUGCGGGACUUAACCCAACAUCUCACGACACGAGCUGACGACAGCCACGCACCACCUGUGAUGGAGUCCGAAGAAGACGUGUUUCCACGUUUGUCCCCAACAUGUCAAGUCCAGGUAAGGUUCUUCGCGUUGCGUCGAAUUAAACCACAUGCUCCGCUGCUUGUGCGGGUCCCCGUCAAUUCCUUUGGGUUUUAGCCUUGCGGCCGUACUCCCCAGGCGGGGCGCUUACUGCGUUAGCUACGGCACGGAGCCCGUCGAUCGAGCCCCACACCUAGUGCCCAACGUUUACGGCGUGGACUA
rnacentral:misc_RNA from 1 species